GACGAACGCUGGCGGCGUGCCUAAUACAUGCAAGUCGAGCGGACUGAUUAAGAGCUUGCUCUUAUGACGUUAGCGGCGGACGGGUGAGUAACACGUGGGCAACCUGCCCUGUAGAUCGGGAUAACACCGAGAAAUCGGUGCUAAUACCGGGUAAUAUCUGAGAUCACAUGAUCUUAGGUUAAAAGAUGGCUCCGGCUAUCACUACAGGAUGGGCCCGCGGCGCAUUAGCUAGUUGGUAAGGUAAUGGCUUACCAAGGCGACGAUGCGUAGCCGACCUGAGAGGGUGAUCGGCCACACUGGGACUGAGACACGGCCCAGACUCCUACGGGAGGCAGCAGUAGGGAAUCUUCCGCAAUGGACGAAAGUCUGACGGAGCAACGCCGCGUGAGUGAUGAAGGGUUUCGGCUCGUAAAGCUCUGUUGUUAGGGAAGAAACAGUACCGAACGAACUAGGUCGGCACCUUGACGGUACCUAACCAGAAAGCCACGGCUAACUACGUG
rnacentral:rRNA from 1 species